UUUAGUCGAGUCUAAUUUUAUUACAUAUAGAACACAAUAAAUAUUUUUGGUUUCGAACUUUGAAACUCACUCAGUCGUUGGCAGUGUGGCAUUUUUUAAGCGUGUUUGUCUUUACGCAUUGCCAGUGAAUAUCGACAGAUCUGUCAUCAAACGACAAAAAGAAAACAUAAAAGUGAAAUCAACAUCUUUGCAAGUUUUUUCUCAUAGAUUUAAGUUUGAUUUCAAUUGCAAUUCGAUCAUAUUCGAAAUCAAAGAAAGCAGAUGAUGCAGUGGCGGUCGAAGCGGGAGAAAAACUUGCUGGAAAGAAACUUGCUGCCAUCAUUCAUAGCCGUUCCAGCCUCUACCCCGAGUAACGACAUCGCUCAUGAAUCGGAACUGCAAUGGAAGCUGGUUUGUGAACUUGCCACUUGCCACAGGACUGGUGCUAAAAUCCAAAAGGGGUGUUCGGAGGCUCAGCAUCCGAUCCAGUUAACGUUAUGGGGGCUUUCGCUGCAGCAUGACAGCAGCUGUUGAUCAGAUUCGAGUUAAAUUCAAUAUGUGUGAAGAAAAAUGUAUCAUUUUAAUUCUGAACGAUUAGCAUUUUAAUGAGCGAUGCGUGAUUAAAAUAAUAAUUAUUAAAAUUAAAGUAAA